CACGUAGGGCGCGAGCGUUGUCCGGAAUUAUUGGGCGUAAAGAGCUCGUAGGCGGCCUGUUGCGUCCGCUGUGAAAGCCCGGGGCUUAACCCCGGGUCUGCAUUCGAUACGGGCUAGCUAGAGUGUGGUAGGGGAGAUCGGAAUUCCUGGUGUAGCGGUGAAAUGCGCAGAUAUCAGGAAGAACACCCGUGGCGAAAGCGGCUCUCUGGAACGGUACUGACGCUGAGACGCGAAAGCGUGGGGAGCGAACAGG
rnacentral:rRNA from 1 species